AUUGCAUCUCUGGAGUGUUUUCUUUGUUGGGCAAGUGAGCUUUUUUUCACUAUGGCAGGGACUGGAGUGUUUGCAGACGUAUUGGAGGGAGAUGUUUACAAAUAUUAUGCUGAUGGAGAAUGGAAGAAGUCUUCUUCUGGAAAAAGUGUUGCAAUUAUCAACCCAAUGACCAGGAAAACCCAGUACAAGGUUCAAGCUUGUACACAAGAAGAGAUGAACAAAGUUAUGGAAUC